GGAUGAGGCAUGCGCAAAAUACACCUCAGCCCAGCCUGAUGGAGCUCUCCGUCGAGAGGAAACAGACCACCAGGAAUCUCCCCAUGAGAAAUGAAAGCUUACGUUUACUCCAAGACUUGCAUGUGAACACUGACAGCAGCAUCAUUACUCAUGAUUGCCCCAAGCUGGAGACAACCCGCGUGUCCAUCAAGUGGACAGAGAAGCAAAAUGUGGUCUACGCAUCGGUGGCAUCCUACCUGUCGGUGAGAAGGACCAAAGUGCCAGCACGAGGAGGGACCUCAAAACGCUGAGAUCGUGAAGGAAGCUGGACACAGAGGACUGUAUGUCUUAUGAUUCCAUUUGUAGGAAGUGUCCCAAAAAGGUAAACCGAUAGGGACGGGAAGAAGAUGAGUGGCUGCCUGGGGCCGGUAGUGGGAACAGUUAGCGACCAAUAAUGAGCACAUGGC
rnacentral:lncRNA from 1 species